rnacentral:tRNA from 1 species
GGUGUAAUACUUUAAUGAAAAGGCUUGAUUUGCGUUCAAGAAUUGGGAAUUUAUAUCCCUUAUACUG